GGAUGUGAGGGCGAUCUGGCUUCCACAACUGUCACCCCAUUGAUCGCCAGUGUUGAUUCCGCUGAUCUGGCUGGCUGAGCAGGUGUCCCCUUCGUCCCUCACUGCUCCAUGUGCAUCCCUCCCAAAGGAGAACGACCAUCCCCGAUAAAGGAGAACCAUUCUUCUUGGUCAAGGGUAUAUGAGUAGCUGCAUUCCCCUGCUAAAACCUCCAAACAAGCUCUCGAUAAUAUUCUGUAUUUAUUUUAUACAGAGGUAAUACAUUCACAUGGUUCACAGUCAAAAGAUGU
rnacentral:snRNA from 1 species